GUUAAGAUGGCCGAGUUGGUCUAAGGCACUAGUUUCAGGAAUUGGUUUGAAAAUGCAUGGAUUCAAAUCCCAUUCUUGACA
rnacentral:tRNA from 1 species